AUACCUUUCUCUGCCGUUUGGCUAACAUCAAGUGCAGCGUCUAUUCUUAUCAGUUUGCUAUCUUAUAUGUGAGCCAUCGGUUCGCACGAUAUUAAAUUAUUUUGUUUCAUGGCUGAGUUCCCGUCACAGCAGCAAGGUUCUGGGUUCUUAUGCGUUGCCCUUGUGUUGCAUGCAUUACUACAAGGUCCUGGUGCACCCCCA